AAGUCGUAACAAGGUCUCCGUUGGUGAACCAGCGGAGGGAUCAUUACUGAGUCGUAAAAACUCCCAAACCCAUGUGAACUUACCUAUGUUGCCUCGGCAGGACCUACCCGGGACCUACUCUGUAGCACCUUGUAGCCUGCCGGUGGAACAUCUUAAACUCUUAGUUUUUUUAUAGAAAUCUGAACGUUCUUAUUAAAUAAGAUCAAA
rnacentral:misc_RNA from 1 species